CAGUAGCCGCGGGAACACGAAGGGGGCUAGCGUUGUUCGGAAUUACUGGGCGUAAAGCGCACGUAGGCGGAUCGAUCAGUCAGGGGUGAAAUCCCAGGGCUCAACCCUGGAACUGCCUUUGAUACUGUCGAUCUGGAGUAUGGAAGAGGUGAGUGGAAUUCCGAGUGUAGAGGUGAAAUUCGUAGAUAUUCGGAGGAACACCAGUGGCGAAGGCGGCUCACUGGUCCAUUACUGACGCUGAGGUGCGAAAGCGUGGGGAGCAAACAGGAUUAGAUACCCGCGUAGUCCCUGUCUCUUAUAC
rnacentral:rRNA from 1 species